rnacentral:rRNA from 1 species
GACGAACGCUGGCGGCGUGCUUAACACAUGCAAGUCGAACGGUGACGAGGAGCUUGCUCCUCCGAUCAGUGGCGAACGGGUGAGUAACACGUGAGCAACCUGCCCCAGACUCUGGGAUAACAGUUGGAAACAGCUGCUAAUACCGGAUACGAGACGGAGAGGCAUCUCUACCGUCUGGAAAGUUUUUCGGUCUGGGAUGGACUCGCGGCCUAUCAGCUAGUUGGUGAGGUAAUGGCUCACCAAGGCGACGACGGGUAGCCGGCCUGAGAGGGCGACCGGCCACACUGGGACUGAGACACGGCCCAGACUCCUACGGGAGGCAGCAGUGGGGAAUAUUGCACAAUGGGCGAAAGCCUGAUGCAGCGGCGCCGCGUGAGGGAUGACGGCCUUCGGGUUGUAAACCGUCUUCUAGCAGGAGAGCGCAAGUGACGGUACCUGCAGAA